UACGAAGGGGGCAAGCGUUGCUCGGAAUCACUGGGCGUAAAGCGCACGUAGGCGGAUUGUUAAGUCGGGGGUGAAAUCCUGGAGCUCAACUCCAGAACUGCCUUCGAUACUGGCGAUCUCGAGUUCGGGAGAGGUGAGUGGAACUGCGAGUGUAGAGGUGAAAUUCGUAGAUAUUCGCAAGAACACCAGUGGCGAAGGCGGCUCACUGGCCCGAUACUGACGCUGAGGUGCGAAAGCGUGGGGAGCAAACAGG
rnacentral:rRNA from 1 species